rnacentral:rRNA from 1 species
GAUGAACGCUGGCGGCGUGCCUAAUACAUGCAAGUCGAGCGAAUGGAUUAAGAGCUUGCUCUUAUGAAGUUAGCGGCGGACGGGUGAGUAACACGUGAGUAACCUGCCCAUAAGACUGGGAUAACUCCGGGAAACCGGGGCUAAUACCGGAUAAUAUUUUGAACUGCAUGAUUCAAAAUUGAAAGGCGGCUUCGGCUGUCACUUAUGGAUGGACCCGCGUCGCAUUAGCUAGUUGGUGAGGUAACGGCUCACCAAGGCAACGAGGCGUAGCCGACCUGAGAGGGUGACCGGCCACACUGGGACUGAGACACGGCCCAGACUCCUACGGGAGGCAGCAGUAGGGAAUCUUCCGCAAUGGACGAAAGUCUGACGGAGCAACGCCGCGUGAGUGAUGAAGGCUUUCGGGUCGUAAAACUCUGUUGUUAGGGAAGAACAAGUGCUAGUUGAAUAAGCUGGCACCUUGGCGGUACCUAACCAGAAAGCCACGGCUAACUACGUGCCAGCCGCCGCCGUAA